GGUGUGGCACGAAAUAACUUUACACCGUCCUGUAUCAUCCUCUCGCGAGACCUCAUCGAGAAGCGCAAAAUAGGAGUUCAAGGAGCGGCAAUGUUUAGAGAGACUGGUGAAAUGUAAUGAAAUGCUCAACUUACGCCCAAGAUUGACUCUAAUUCUUCACAUAAACCAUGUUCUCUUUCCCAAAAAUCUUGGUUUCGCUAGGAGUGCAGUAAAGGGAAUGUUGGAAGAAGUGUAGAUAUCAUGGCCACAGGCCAGUGGGCUAGAACCUUGAAGCCUGGCAAGGAUUAUGAGACUGGAAACUCCCAUUGAGACUACCAAAUGAAGAGAAAGUUUCAGACUGUUUAACUCGGACUAAGGGAAAAGAAGCAAAUUACAACAAGGAGAAUAUUGCUGAGAAAGCAAAGACAAGUGAAAAGUCGAGUGAAG